rnacentral:rRNA from 1 species
GUUAUACAUGUAAUAUAAUGAAAAUUUUUCGGUAUUAAUUAGUAAAUAUAAAUUGAAUUUUAAUAAAAUUUUAUUAGGUGAAAUUUUAAAAUUUUUUAAAAUUUUUUUUUAGGUUAUGAAAUUAAUAAACUUUAAGUAUAAACUAGGAUUAGAUACCCUAUUAUUUUUAGUGUAAAUUUAUUAUACCAGAUUAGUAUUAGUUAUAGUCUUGAAAAUUAAAGAAGAUGGCGGUAUUUUAGUCUAUUCAGAGGAACCUGUCCUGUAAUUGAUGAUCCACGAUUUAAUAUACUUAUUUUAGUUUACAUAUCGCCGUAGUUUGAAUAUUUUUAUAAAAUUUUAAUAUUCAAGAUUUUUUAUUUAAAAGUAAAUCAGGUCAAGGUGUAGCUUGUGAAUAAGAAGAGAUGGGUUACAAUAAAUUUAUUUAAAUGGAUUAAGAUUUGGAAAGUUUUAUGAAGGUGGAUUUGAGGGUAAUUUUAUUUUAAAUUAUUAAUAUGAUUUUAGCUCUAAAAUAUGUACAU